UGGGGGAUAUUGCACAAUGGGGGAAACCCUGAUGCAGCGACGCCGCGUGUAGGAAGACGGUCCUCUGGAUUGUAAACUACUGUCUUCAGGGACGAUAAUGACGGUACCUGAGGAGGAAGCUCCGGCUAACUACGUGCCAGCAGCCGCGGUAAUACGUAGGGAGCGAGCGUUGUCCGGAAUUACUGGGUGUAAAGGGAGCGUAGGCGGGACUGCAAGUUGGAUGUGAAAGGUAUCGGCUCAACCGAUAGACUGCAUUCAAAACUGCGGUUCUUGAGUGAAGUAGAGGCAGGCGGAAUUCCUAGUGUAGCGGUGAAAUGCGUAGAUAUUAGGAGGAACACCAGUGGCGAAGGCGGCCUGCUGGGCUUUUACUGACGCUGAGGCUCGAAAGUGUGGGGAGCAAACA
rnacentral:rRNA from 1 species